GAUGAACGCUGGCGGCGUGCCUAAUACAUGCAAGUCGAGCGAACAGAUAAGGAGCUUGCUCCUUUGACGUUAGCGGCGGACGGGUGAGUAACACGUGGGUAACCUACCUAUAAGACUGGGAUAACUUCGGGAAACCGGAGCUAAUACCGGAUAACAUUUGGAACCGCAUGGUUCUAAAGUGAAAGAUGGCUUUGCUAUCACUUAUAGAUGGACCCGCGCCGUAUUAGCUAGUUGGUAAGGUAACGGCUUACCAAGGCGACGAUACGUAGCCGAUCUGAGAGGGUGAUCGGCCACACUGGAACUGAGACACGGUCCAGACUCCUACGGGAGGCAGCAGUAGGGAAUCUUCGACAAUGGGCGAAAGCCUGACGGAGCAACGCCGCGUGAGUGAUGAAGGGUUUCGGGUCGUAAAACUCUGUUAUUAGGGAAGAACAAAUGUGUAAGUAACUGUGCACGUCUUGACGGUACCUAAUCAGAAAGCCACGGCUAACUACGUG
rnacentral:rRNA from 1 species